CGCGGUCGCCCCAGCCGCCCGGCAGCCGCCGACCCCCGGCCGGGCCCUGGACUCGCCGCGGUAGUGCCUUCCCAAACAGAGCUGCUGGAAUUACAAUCUUUUGUUGAGCCUCAUGUAACGGAAAAGUCUCCGAUUACUAUCACUUGAAAAGGCUAGCGCGCCCACGGGACGGCCUGGAGAGUGAAGAGCCCCAAGGGUCCCGGGCCCGCGCGGCUCAUUCACUCUCUAGCGUCUGCUGAGGUAACGCGGCCCGCACCUGGGCGCGCGCGACUGCCCCAGUGCGCUGGCGCCAACCACGCGGCGGCGGCCCGGCGAGCCACCGGGAAGAAGUCAGACAAAGUCACUCUCAGGGCGCUGUGCAGCGCCACAGCCAGGGGAGGUGUAAGUUCGGGCUCAGUGAAGAAUCUCGGCUGACUUACGCUGCCAUCAGGGGAUAUGAAGGCGGUGGUUUCCUGGAAUAACACGGGCCUAUGAUAGGAAUUCGACGCAAGGAAGAUUUAUGGGAGCACCGAUUUGCAAGGCAUUGUGGGAAAAAGGUACACAGCUGUCUCAACAAAGAGGAACAGAGCACUAAAGCUAAAUAACCCCCAUGAAGGACCAACCCUCUUCCGGCAGUCCCCAAAUGAAGAGCAAUUGUAUUCCUUUAAUUCAGUCAUAAAUCAACUCUCAAUUCUAUGAGAUUUUUCACAGAAGAACGGAGCGCCUCAAAAGUGGAUCAAGGCAGAAAUGGAUGUGGAAAUUAUCAUCCUGUACCUUUGAGGUAAAGAGGCUUCUACAGCUCUGGCAUGAGCUACCACAGGUCAUAACCAUUAGGAAAGAAACUGGAAUGUUACCAUGCCAGGCUUUGUAAGUAUUCUGUUAGUUCUCCUCUAUAUUGAUUAAAGUUCGUAAAGUCAAUACCUGGAACAGCCCAGAGGGAAAAUACUUUACCUGUUCUCUUACUUCCCAAGAUACCACAUUUAUUAUCUAAGUCGCACAGGUUAUCAGAUAAACUUGCAGGUUUUUGUUUUAUGAAGAAACAAUAAUCCCCAGGCUACUUUCCAGCAUCCUCUACUGUUACUCUACAAAAUCUUCCUUGGUGACAUCAUCCACUUCUCUGUCUUUGCUGGUUACCCGGUGCUGACAGCUGCUCCCUGCAAGGUGCAGGUGUCUCCUAACAAUCACUAACUCCGCCUGUCGAACACCGAACUCACAGCCCCGACCUCUACGCCCUGCAUCUCCUCCACCACUCCCUCGCUGAAUGGCAUCCCCACUUCUCCUAGCCGCCCCAGACACAAACCUUCGCAGUCACCUUUCAUUUCUCCCUCUCGCUCCACAGGGUGGCCCUAAGGUAACUCGUACCUCCUGAAAAUCUCAUGAGUUAGUUCCAGCAGGAGUUUCUCAUUCCAGCUCCUCAUCUCUCAUUGUAAUCCCUAAUCCAUUCCCCUACAAUGCUACCAGAGGGACCGUGCUAAAAUGUAAUUCCAGUUAUUUUAUCCCCCUAAAAACUAAAAUCUACCAAAUGGCUCCCAAUGCCAUCAGAAUAAUGCCAAGAAGCCUUAGGAGAGAAAAUGAGAUUCUUCACGAGGACCUUGCCCAUCUCUCUAGCCUGGUCCCA
rnacentral:lncRNA from 1 species